GCAUUAAUGGGGUAGUGGUAACCUGGGUCGUUGCCAUCCGAGUAUUGACUCGACCCGCCGGGGGUUCGAUUCCCUCUUAAUGCA
rnacentral:tRNA from 1 species